GCGGGUGUAGCUCAAUGGUAGAGUUCUGGCCUUCCAAGCCAGCUGUGAGGGGUCGAUCCCCUUCACCCGCUCCA
rnacentral:tRNA from 1 species